rnacentral:rRNA from 1 species
GCCGCGGUAAUUCCAGCUCCAUUGGCGUAUAUUAAAGUUGUUGCGGUUAAAAAGCUCGUAGUUGGAUCUGUGUAUCGGACGGUCGGUUCGCCGCUCGCGGCGUUUAACUGACCGGUCCGGACGUCCUGCCGGUGGGACCCGGUUCACGCCGGGGCCCGUAACUCCCUCCGCGCUGCUCUUAACCGAGUGGUUCGGUGGGCCGGCACGUUUACUUUGAACAAAUUUGAGUGCUCAAAGCAGGCCUUAUGUUGCCUGAAAACUGUGUGCAUGGAAUAAUGGAAUAGGGCCUCGGUUCUAUUUUGUUGGCUUUUCUGAACCCGAGGUAAUGAUUAAUAGGGACAGACGGGGGCAUUCGUAUGGCGACGUUAGAGGUGAAAUUCUUGGAUCGUCGCCAGACGGACCGAUGCGAAAGCGUUUGCCAAGAAUGUUUUCGCUAAUCAAGAACGAAAGUUAGAGGUUCGAAGGCGAUCAGAUACCGCCCUAGUUCUAACCAUAAACGAUGCCAGCCAGCGAUGCGCCGAAGUUCCUCCGAUGACUCGGCGCGCAGCUUCCGGGAAACCAAAGCUUUUGGGUUCCGGGGGAA